rnacentral:piRNA from 1 species
GNGAAGCCAGAAUUGAACUGUAUUGGGAAC